rnacentral:rRNA from 1 species
AGUGAACGCUGGCGGUAGGCCUAACACAUGCAAGUCGAACGGCAGCACAGUAAGAGCUUGCUCUUACGGGUGGCGAGUGGCGGACGGGGGAGGAAUACAUCGGAAUCUACUUUUUCGUGGGGGAUAACGUAGGGAAACUUACGCUAAUACCGCAUACGACCUACGGGUGAAAGCAGGGGAUCUUCGGACCUUGCGCGAUUGAAUGAGCCGAUGUCGGAUUAGCUAGUUGGCGGGGUAAAGGCCCACCAAGGCGACGAUCCGUAGCUGGUCUGAGAGGAUGAUCAGCCACACUGGCACUGAGACACGGUCCCGACUCCUACGGGAGGCAGCAGUGGGGAAUAUUGGACAAUGGGCGCAAGCCUGAUCCAGCCAUACCGCGUGGGUGAAGAAGGCCUUCGGGUUGUAAAGCCCUUUUGUUGGGAAAGAAAAGCAGCAGGUUAAUACCCCGCUGUUCUGACGGUACCCAAAGAAUAAGCACCGGCUAACUUCGUG